rnacentral:lncRNA from 1 species
AAAAAUAAAAGAAUAUACUCAUUAGAGAAAGAAAUCAUAUAUUGGAUAAAGCUGUUGGAUUACAAUGGUUGAUAUUACAAGGGAAACAUCAUCGAAAUGUGAUGCAUAACCUAAAUAUUUUCUUGACAGCGAAACUUACAUAAAAAGCAUCCUUCAACAUCCCUACAACUUAACUAAACUUAACCGGGGAACACCAUCCGACAGAAACAUCAUCCCUACAACUUAACUAAAACUGAUAGCAUCCAUCAUCAUCAUCAUGGACCGGAACAUCAUUAUCAUCAUGAAACGGAACAUCAUCAUCAUUGCAAUAUACUUGCCACGCACCAUUAUAAUCAUCCAUAUAUCUUUUGAAUCUACAAAGAAAAUAACAAAAUGAACUGUUAAUACACAAUGCAUUGACAUGAUGAAUGUAGUGAUAGAGGCAGCAGGAUGUUAGGCACGUACGUACAAAGGUUGAAGGCUAUGCAAUCUUCUUUUUUCUGCAUUAUCGAGAGUAUUGCAGCUUUUGCGACUCCGUACCGAAUCUUCAGUUUUCACAAGUGCCAUAUCGACAUGCACUACCAAGAAUUCAUUUGUAAUUUUAGCAUCAUCAAGUUUAAAUUUAGGAUCACAACUUACAACUAUAGCAAGAGCUACGUCCCUAUUAUGAUUGUGAAAAGAUACCGGCAUGAGUGUUAGUUGUCAUUGAUGACUAAUCACGACGCCACAAUAUAUGACACAGCCUGCAGAAAAACAUGGCUUAAUAAAAUUAUAUGGAGAGUAGCCUAAGUGCUGAUGUGCAUUCAAGGGCAAUUGUGAGUGACAGUACCACUUCUUUUCUCUUCUCCAUUUAGUUAGCAAACUGAACUAAAAAGGUUUUAGUGAUCUGAAACCAAAACAUUUAGCUCUAGUUGGUUUCAGUCAUCCAACAGGAAACAAACAAACCUAAAGGUGCUCACCACGCUUUGGAACAAAACUACAGCCUCAAAUCCACUGAAACGAAUUUACAUAGUUAUCACCAGCCUAGAGAUCCAUUG